GGGACACGUGGUAUCCUGUCUGAAUAUGGGGGGACCAUCCUCCAAGGCUAAAUACUCCUGACUGACCGAUAGUGAACCAGUACCGUGAGGGAAAGGCGAAAAGAACCCCGGCGAGGGGAGUGAAAAAGAACCUGAAACCGUGUACGUACAAGCAGUGGGAGCACGCUUAGGCGUGUGACUGCGUACCUUUUGUAUAAUGGGUCAGCGACUUAUAUUCUGUAGCAAGGUUAACCGAAUAGGGGAGCCGAAGGGAAACCGAGUCUUAACUGGGCGUUAAGUUGCAGGGUAUAGACCCGAAACCCGGUGAUCUAGCCAUGGGCAGGUUGAAGGUUGGGUAACACUAACUGGAGGACCGAACCGACUAAUGUUGAAAAAUUAGCGGAUGACUUGUGGCUGGGGGUGAAAGGCCAAUCAAACCGGGAGAUAGCUGGUUCUCCCCGAAAGCUAUUUAGGUAGCGCCUCGUGAAUUCAUCUCCGGGGGUAGAGCACUGUUUCGGCAAGGGGGUCAUCCCGACUUACCAACCCGAUGCAAACUGCGAAUACCGGAGAAUGUUAUCACGGGAGACACACGGCGGGUGCUAACGUCCGUCGUGAAGAGGGAAACAACCCAGACCGCCAGCUAAGGUCCCAAAGUCAUGGUUAAGUGGGAAACGAUGUGGGAAGGCCCAGACAGCCAGGAUGUUGGCUUAGAAGCAGCCAUCAUUUAAAGAAAGCGUAAUAGCUCACUGGUCGAGUCGGCCUGCGCGGAAGAUGUAACGGGGCUAAACCAUGCA
rnacentral:rRNA from 1 species